rnacentral:tRNA from 1 species
GGGUCUGUAGCGCAGUUGGUAGCGCGCCUCGUUCGCAUCGAGGAGGUCAGGGGUUCGAUUCCCCUCAGAUCCACCA